CCAAAUGCCAAUACUAGGAGUGGGGAACUACCAAACCGUUACAUUCUCUCCCACCCAAUCCCGCAAACGUCCUCGUUUGCAUGCGUUCACGUCGCUUACCUGUGCAAAUUGUCACACUCCCUCGCACGUAAGAGCCCACACACCAUUUGUUGCGUUCGCCCAAUGCAAACACUUAAGCAGCAAGUUGGCCACCAACUAGCCAAAGCACUCACCCACUGCUGCACGUAGACAUUCUCAAAAAUGCCUUGCGAAGAUUCUUCACAUUGCUCGCCAGACACUAAUAUGCUGCAUGACAGACCACACUUGUCCCUUGGAUCGACCCAUUUCUUGUCCGAUGUGGGGUUGAGAAGCCAUUGUUUAUCUCUGUCCCAUUGAGGCCUGACACUCUCCUCCACCCGAUUCCCACAACACCCUUGUCGCUAUCGGCACCCUGACUACCUCUGUCUCGUUGGGGCGCUUGGCGUGAUUUAUAAGCAUUAUACAUUUCCGAGGACUUAAUCCAAAAUCGUUUAGAGUG
rnacentral:misc_RNA from 1 species